CAAGCUUCUCUAGCUGAUAUUGGCAA
rnacentral:piRNA from 1 species